AUACGGAGGACGCGAGCGUUAUCCGGAUUCAUUGGGUUUAAAGGGUGCGCAGGCGGCCGAGCAAGUCAGCGGUGAAAGCCCGGGGCUCAACCCCGGAAGUGCCGUUGAUACUGCAUGGCUGGAAUGCGGUCGAGGCGGGCGGAACGGGGCGUGUAGCGGUGAAAUGCGUAGAUAUGCCACAGAACGCCGAUAGCGGAGGAAGCUCGCCAGGCCUGCAUGGACGCUCGGGCACGAAAGCGUGGGGAUCGAACAGGAUUAGAUACCCUGGUAGUCCACGCCGUAAACGAUGGGCGCUCGUCGUCGGCGGCAGACAGUCGGCGGCCAAGCGAAAGCGAUAAGCGCCCCACCUGGGGAGUACGGUCGCAAGGCUGAAACUCAAAUGAAUUGACGGGG
rnacentral:rRNA from 1 species